AUUGAAAGUCGAUUCACUGUGCCUUUUGUGUCCCAGCUGUCACCUGCGAAGGAAUAGAGAGAACAAGUGUGAGUGCUAAAGGAACGAGCUAGGAAGGAGAACCAUACGUACCAAGAGGCUGCAGUCGGUGAAGAGGAAGGAAGAGGAGCGCGCCACGGGCAGAGGGAACCAGAGGCGGGAGCCAGUUCCCCGACGCAACCCCCCCACCCUCUGUCACUCAUUCGGCCGUGGCCCCCUGGAGGGCAGAGCCUGAUUUUAGUUUUAAUUCCCCUUUCCCCAAGUCCCCGUACAUUUUAACUAUUUAAAUAAAUAAAGAAUAUUUUUUAUACUUA